AGCCCCCGAUGACCACCGCAUCCUCUUGCCGGAACAAUCAAAUACCCAGGGGGCCGCAAACACCACCACGGGUCCAGUAGACCUGGAGGACGGAGCGCCGCGGAACAAAGCCUUCGACGUUGAGAAUCGACCAGCUACGCGAAAGGGCAAGAAGAUGGAUGCUGUCGCAGAUAAAACCCCGCUACUGGAUCAGAAGGGCAAUCGGGAGGACGAGCUAGAAUACAUGUCAAAUUUUGCGUUCCUACUAUCCAUGCUGUCUUACGGAGUGCUGUAUUUACUUGGUUCAGCAAAACUCGGAAGGAAGGGGAGCAAUACACGCCUGGUAAUGUGUUUACAUGCUUGGACUGCAGUCAUGAUGUUGCUCUUGUUCGUCGGUUCCUACAUCCGGUGGCCUGCUGCUGUUCUGAAGAUCAUGCGCCUCGUUAUGGCGGGUGUAAUAUUCAUAUCUGCACUUGUUAUUUUCAUUUUGGCUCACUGUGCUCCGUAGUCGCCAGUUCGGAGGUGUGCAACUUCCGCUUGGUUUGUGCUCUCCGCAAGAAAACUACUGUGGUUUGGAAUUCCUAAUGUUCCGUAAACUCGUAAAAUAUUUAGAAAAUAUGAAAUAUGUACUGUAAACUCGUAUGAUAAAAUAUGAAGUGUUAGUAUCAAAUUUCUCUUUUAUUGACUGCAGGAUCUGCUUUACCUGUUUUGUUAUUCUACCCUGUAAAAGCCCGAUUCUCUGUGCUCCCUGCCUGUGCUCAUGAGCUGCUUGGCUCCAAAAAGUUACGUUUGCUCUGAGAUUAUGAUAAGUUUCACACCCAUUGUGAUCUACACUUUAAAAAGUCAUGGACAUAAAAAUCAGAUAUGAACACAACUAGUCCUGAAAGUUUUGACGUUAAAGAUGAAGCACAUGAUCGCAUUGAGCCGGGGACUGCUGUUCAUUGACCGGUGACAUCAAGUUGAGGGAUCUGCUGCGAGAUAUGAGGUGGAAGUCUAACCUCAACCAUGCCGGUAUGCAGCUCUUAUUUUGGAGAGGAUUGUUUUGAGUUUCGAUUGUUCAAAGGACAGGGAGGGACACAAUGAGGUUUAGUUUUUCAGAGAGCUUAGUCACCCACACUUCCAUCAUUAACAGCCAUUAUCGCGUAACGAACUUCAGGAGCUAACACCAUCAGGCUGUUUGCUGGCAUCGCCAUGUUUUCCUGCCAAGUAGUCCCCUAUGAGCUAUCCUCCCGAACUGAACCCGU